GUGGAGCUUUUGCUUAAGAUUUAGAGCACUAGCCUUGAGCGCAAAUGCUCAAGGACAGCACACAAGCUCUUUAAGUUCAAAUCCCAGGACUAGCACCAAAAAGAGUAAUGCAAUAAUAAUUUGGAGAGCUGGAGGAUGUGUGGGCAUUAAAGUGUUAUUUCCCAGCUCUCUCCAUUUUUCUUUUUCAGUGCUGGAAAACGCAG